GUAAACGAUGUCGACUUGGAGGUUGUGCCCUUGAGGCGUGGCUUCCGGAGCUAACGCGUUAAGUCGACCGCCUGGGGAGUACGGCCGCAAGGUUAAAACUCAAAUGAAUUGACGGGGGCCCGCACAAGCGGUGGAGCAUGUGGUUUAAUUCGAUGCAACGCGAAGAACCUUACCUGGUCUUGACAUCCACGGAAGUUUUCAGAGAUGAGAAUGUGCCUUCGGGAACCGUGAGACAGGUGCUGCAUGGCUGUCGUCAGCUCGUGUUGUGAAAUGUUGGGUUAAGUCCCGCAACGAGCGCAACCCUUAUCCUUUGUUGCCAGCGGUCCGGCCGGGAACUCAAAGGAGACUGCCAGUGAUAAACUGGAGGAAGGUGGGGAUGACGUCAAGUCAUCAUGGCCCUUACGACCAGGGCUACACACGUGCUACAAUGGCGCAUACAAAGAGAAGCGACCUCGCGAGAGCAAGCGGACCUCAUAAAGUGCGUCGUAGUCCGGAUUGGAGUCUGCAACUCGACUCCAUGAAGUCGGAAUCGCUAGUAAUCGUGGAUCAGAAUGCCACGGUGAAUACGUUCCCGGGCCUUGUACACACCGCCCGUCACACCAUGGGAGUGGGUUGCAAAAGAAGUAGGUAGCUUAACCUUCGGGAGGGCGCUUACCACUUUGUGAUUCAUGACUGGGGUG
rnacentral:rRNA from 1 species